rnacentral:rRNA from 1 species
GAUGAACGCUGGCGGCGUGCCUAAUACAUGCAAGUCGAGCGAACGGACGAGAAGCUUGCUUCUCUGAUGUUAGCGGCGGACGGGUGAGCAACACGUGGAUAACCUACCUAUAAGACUGGGAUAACUUCGGGAAACCGGAGCUAAUACCGGAUAAUAUUUUGAACCGCAUGGUUCAAAAGUGAAAGACGGUCUUGCUGUCACUUAUAGAUGGAUCCGCGCUGCAUUAGCUAGUUGGUAAGGUAACGGCUUACCAAGGCAACGAUGCAUAGCCGACCUGAGAGGGUGAUCGGCCACACUGGAACUGAGACACGGUCCAGACUCCUACGGGAGGCAGCAGUAGGGAAUCUUCCGCAAUGGGCGAAAGCCUGACGGAGUAACGCCGCGUGAGUGAUGAAGGUCUUCGGAUCGUAAAACUCUGUUAUUAGGGAAGAACAUAUGUGUAAGUAACUGUGCACAUCUUGACGGUACCUAAUCAGAAAGCCACGGCUAACUACGUG